GGCGGCAUAGCCAAGCGGUAAGGCGACGGAUUGCAAAUCCGUUAUCCCCCGGUUCGAUUCCGGGUGCCGCCUCCA
rnacentral:tRNA from 1 species